UUCCGAAAGGGACGCUAAUACCGCAUACGCCCCAAGGGGGAAAGCGGGGGAUCUUCGGACCUCGUGCUACAGGAUGAGCUUGCGUCGGAUUAGCUAGUUGGUGGGGUAAAGGCCUACCAAGGCGACGAUCCGUAGCUGGUCUGAGAGGAUGAUCAGCCACACCGGGACUGAGACACGGCCCGGACUCCUACGGGAGGCAGCAGUGGGGAAUAUUGCGCAAUGGGGGCAACCCUGACGCAGCCAUGCCGCGUGUGUGAAGAAGGCCUUCGGGUUGUAAAGCACUUUCAGUGGGGAGGAAAGGGCGCUGGCUAAUAUCCAGUGCAGUUGACGCUACCCACAGAAGAAGCACCGGCUAAUUCCGUGCCAGCAGCCGCGGUAAUACGGAAGGUGCGAGCGUUAAUCGGAAUUACUGGGCGUAAAGCGCGCGUAGGCGGCUUGGUAAGUCGGGUGUGAAAGCCCCGGGCUCAACCUGGGAACUGCAUUCGAUACUGCUGGGCUAGAGUACGAGAG
rnacentral:rRNA from 1 species